ensembl:miRNA
CCCAGGGAUGUAGCUCCUAGUGCUGACCCUCCCUCUGGGGGCCCAUCCCUGCA